UCGAGUUUGGUACCUCUCAGGUACCUUCUCCCACCAAUUGUGAACCUUUUGAAUGUUGCCUCGGUGGGUAGGUGGUACCCCCACCUCCAGUUAGGUCUGGAAGCUCACCGAUGGAUUUUUAAACUCGUUUAAUCAUGAAAUCUGAGUAAAAACAAAAUUAAACA
rnacentral:misc_RNA from 1 species